CAGUCCUCCCACUGUUCCUAAUUCAUCCUGCCUUGAGCCAGGUUGUCUUCACUAUACCAGCCACAGAACAGGGGAAGUCUCAAGGGGCAUCAAAGAGCUCCUGCUCUGCUUCUUAGAAAGGAAGACAAGUCAGCCUAUUUAAUAACAGCUGGGACUUCCUCUUUUCCUCUUGGCAGACAGCCUUGUUUAAAAUCUUCCAUUUGCCACUCUACAACUGAGUUUAUACAAGAUGAGUGGGGUAGAUACGUAUUUUUUUGUUUACAAGGUGACUUCUUCACUAGAAGAACACGUUACAUCAUUUUAUGAUAAACAGAGGUAUACAGAUACAGCAUUACUCACUGGGAGUUAUCCUGCAGUGCUGACACGUAAAGAAAUCUCCAGUUCUAGAUUCCCUCAGGACCAGAAGAAGAAUACAGCACAUUCCUGGCAGACAGUUCUCUUAAGAUUCUGUUCUCAUUUGUGACACAAAAAGUGGUAACAAAGCAUCAAGAUAUUUCUGCACAUGUAACCACAGUUCUGAGCUAAGAUGGCACCAGCAUUCAGUGCAGAAUAAUGCACAAUGUGCAGGUUCAUGAAUGGCACCUUCACUACAUAAAUACAGUGGUUUAACAAGGUUUCCUAGCGCUGCAGAUGUUCAAAGCGGGAAUUGGUUAGAUUAAAUGUUCCCUCAGCUGGUCAUCAAAUUAUUCUCUUAGCAUUAGCAUUCACUUAAAGCGACAAACACCGCAAGGUGUAUAAGAAGGUUAUGCCAAAAAUUCAGAGGACAGAUGGGUAAAAAGUAGUAGGUUCAUGCCUGUGCCUGCAGUGAUAUAGCUAGAAGUUGCAAGUAUAUCUUUCUGUAUUUUCCCUUUACUUAAAACUUACUUAAAUAUAUCUUUGAGUUACAUUUAUGUAUGUAUUUUUUUCUUAUCAAAUUUGAAGUCACACACAUUUGUGCAUUUGGAUAAUAACAACAGUGAAACUACAAUGAAUGGACUGAACUCUUUAUGCAGGUCAGACGUGUCACUAAAGCUAUGACAUGAGUUUGAGCAUCAUUUGUGGUUUUACUUUGGUCCAGUGAGAUCAGCUGAAUCCUGCUGAUUUACACCAGCUGAACGUUUGGCCAGAAACAUAUUGCCAGAAAUGAAGAACUCAUACUGCUAACGUUCUUUAGAUAGAACAAGAAUUUGGAAGGGGUGAUGGUGGUGGAAGGACUGAUGACAUUUAAGGUGGCUGUUGUCUCAACUUGGAGAAGGGGAAAGACAGUUACUAUUCAAUGGAAAGCGUGUUACCAGAUGUCCAGUGUAAUUUCUAGAUGAGGUGUGUUCAAAGAUCUCUCCAGAUUUGGAUGCUUACAGUAUCCAAUCUUUUUAGGAGUCAGGUUAAGAGUAAAUGUAUACUUGAUCUUGUAAA